rnacentral:rRNA from 1 species
UACGUAGGGUGCAAGCGUUAAUCGGAAUUACUGGGCGUAAAGCGUGCGCAGGCGGCUUGUUAAGUCAGGGGUGAAAUCCUGGAGCUCAACUCCAGAACUGCCUUCGAUACUGACGAUCUCGAGUCCGGGAGAGGUGAGUGGAACUCCGAGUGUAGAGGUGAAAUUCGUAGAUAUUCGCAAGAACACCAGUGGCGAAGGCGGCUCACUGGCCCGGUACUGACGCUGAGGUGCGAAAGCGUGGGGAGCAAACAGG